AGCAAAGUCAGCUAAAAAAGCUCUUGGGCCCAUACCCCAACAAUGUAGGUUAAAGCCCUAUCUCUGCUA
rnacentral:tRNA from 1 species